rnacentral:ncRNA from 2 species
ACCUUAUCGAGAGUCGGGGGAGGAAUCUGGUCCCAAGAUCCCGCAGCAACCGUUACGGAUGUAACAAGGUGCUCAUUCCAGCAGGCGCAUGCUUGAAAGAUGAGGG